rnacentral:lncRNA from 7 species
AUCUGAGUCUGGCUGUGCUUCCUUGAGGGUGUGGGGGUGAGUUCUUCUGUAUUGGAGGGCUGUGAUCUACCCCUUUGCUGGGGGUUCAUAGCUGCAUUUUGGGGCUGGCAGCCAUCUGUACCUGGAAACUGCUUCUUUGGGGGAGCGAGUGAGUAUUGGUCCUUGGAAUGGGUUCCCUUGCUUCUGGAUUGCUUCAAUGAGCCCUAAUGAUGCUGAUUGGCUGACUGAGCGCUGCGUUCUGGACACGGUGACAUUUGCAGCUCAGUGGGUUUUAAGGAUUGUUGGGACUCCUCUAAUCGGUGGUGUGAGGCCUGUGGAGCAGCUAAUGGAACAUCACGACUAUGCUGACUUCCCCAGGGUCUUACGGUCAUUUCUGUUUCACCAGCAGAUCUGGGGUGGCAGCAGAGAGCUGCAGCGCUCCCGAGUGCUGUAACGACUGCACGGAGAGAUGUGCGGAUCUUCACGGGAACAGCAAGGAACCGAAAGCUGCAUUUCCUGGGAUGCCCUGGAACUCCACUUUGCUGACUGGUAAUUGUCUGCCCAGCAGGUGGCAGCAGAGAGCUGCAGCGCUCCCGAGUGCUGUAAUGACUGCACGGAGAGAUGUGCGGAUCUUCACGGGAACAGCAAGGAACCGAAAGCUGCAUUUCCUGGGAUGCCCUGGAACUCCACUUUGCUGACUGGUAAUUGUCUGCCCAGCAGUGCUAAUCUGAUGCAACGCCCUCAGCAAACUUACCAAAGGUGCACUCCAUGCCAUCAGGCAGGUCUUCAAUGAAGAUAUUGGACAGAACAGGCCUGAAGAGCACUCAGGAUGGCAUACCAGCUGCAUUUAACACGAUCGAGCAGCACUCAUUAGGCCAGGCGGUUCAGCUAGUUCUUCAUCUAGCAAGCAACGUACCCGUCCAAGUAGCCGGCUGCAAUCUUUGAGAGAAUUUCAAGGGAUAGCACAUCAAAGGGUUUGCCUCACUCAUGGGGUUGGGUCAUCUUCACUUUGAGUUUGCUAGCGUGGCUGACCCUAAUCCCGUAACUGACAUCCUGUAGCUGGACAGGGACCAUUUGCACUCCAUCCAGGCUGUUUGAGACUCACGGCCAUGCUGAGAGUCACACUGAUUUCAGCGUGUGCAGUCAUUUUGCACCAACCCCGUAACCAACGCCCGAGGCCAAUGGAGCCCAUUUGCGCUCCUUCCCGGCCAGUCUGAGACUCGCGCCCCUUUGCGGCCAUUCUGAGAGUUGCGCCGAUUUUGGCAGGUGCAGUCAAUUGAUCUUGCCCAAAUUGGCUUUAGCUUUGCAAUCAAUUGAUCUUGCCCAAAUUGGCUUUAGCUUUGCAAUCAAUUGAUCUCAACCAAAUUGGCUUUAGCUUUGCAAUCAAUUGAUCUCAGCCAAAUUGGCUUUAGCUUUGCCUUGCUUACGGGGUUGGGUUAGCUUUGCUUGUUUGUUUGUACCGCAGGGCUAAUCCAACCCCGUAACCAACUGAGCCUAUUUGCGCUCCUUCCCGGCCUGUCUGAGGCUUGCAUUUACUUCAGGUGGGCUGAGAUCUGCUCUGCUCUUGAGGUGGGUUGCAGUACACAAUAUUAGUGUAAAUGUAAUGUUAUUUAUUGGAUAUGGAGGCUUUGUGACCUUUGUCUUGUGAGUCUGACAUAUGCGUUAUAUGUAAACCAUGCCUUAAAAUGUAUGGAGUAAACGGUGUCUUGGAUUGAUGGAGUACGGGGUGCUGCGCCUGUAAACGGUGUCUUGGAAUUGUAUGGAAUCAGUGUAUUCAUGUUUUGUUUGUCAACAUGUAGGCAUUGCUGUAGUGUGCAUACAAUUGUACGAGUCAUGUCUUGAGGAAACAGUGCUGUAAUAAACAAAUACUUGUGCAAU